rnacentral:rRNA from 1 species
AGCGAACGCUGGCGGCAUGCCUAACACAUGCAAGUCGAACGAACCUUUCGGGGUUUUUGUCGUACGGGUUUGGAACACGAGGGAACGUUCCCUUAUGUUCGGCCUACCUCAGGGACACUUGUGCUAAUAGCGAACGUGCCCUUCUGGGGGAAGAUUUGUCGCCUCUCGUGCGGCCCGCGUCCGAUUAGCUAGUUGUAUGAGGUAAUGGCUCACCAAGGCGACGUUCAGUAGAUGGUCUGUGAGGAUGAUCCGCCACAUUGGGACUGGGACGCAGCCCAGAAUCCUACGGGAGGCGGCAGAGGGGGAUCUAGCGAAAUCGGCGAAGUGCUGACGGUGCCAGGACGCGUGAAUGAUGAAGGUAGUAAAAAAGUAAAAUGCUAGCAACGGGGAAGAUAAUGACGGUACCCGGAGAAAAAGCCCCGGCUAACUUCGUG